GCCAUCUCCGAUAAAACCCCAAGCAGGUAGCCCAGUCACGCACUCGAGAGGCGACCGGGGGUGAUAACUGGCAGCGCUUAGGGAGCGUUGAUGACGCAGCCAGGCUGGCCCCGCGCUUCGUGGGCAUCAUCCCGUGCAGUUCUCCGGUUAUCUGGUUCACCUGGACUUCAUAAACGCCAGACUUCUUUACAAGUUGAGCAUGCUGUUGUCCGUCCCAAAUGUCAGUGAUACUACUCGGUGCUCUCUAUUGCACAUGUGGUCCAGGGUGGCAGCCAUAAUUUCUUGGCCAAGUUGUGCUCCAUCCACAGCCAUCUGAGAGAACAAGGGAGACCUGGGCACUACUAGGCUGGCUUUGAAUUCCUGAGCUCAAGUGAUCCUCUUGCCCUCAGUCUGCAAGCAGCAAGGACUGCAGGGUCUUGCUAUGUACUUCAGGCUGGUCUUGAACUCACUGUGUAGUCCAGGCUGGCCUCAUACUCAUGGCAAU